rnacentral:rRNA from 1 species
UAUCUCUGUAGAGUCUGCAUAUCAAUAAGCGGAGGAAAAGAAACUAACUAGGAUUCCCUCAGUAACGGCGAGUGAAGCGGGAAGAGCUCAAAUUUGAAAUCUUCAAGGUUCUACCUUGACGAAUUGUAGUUUAAAGAAGUGCUUUCUGUUGGAGUUUUGGUAAAAGUUCUUUGGAAUAGGACAUCAUAGAGGGUGAGAAUCCCGUAUUUGACCAUUAUUUCCAGCUUUGUGAUACACUUUCAAAGAGUCGGAUUGUUUGGGAAUGCAGUCCAAAAUGGGUGGUAAAUUUCAUCUAAAGCUAAAUACUGGCGAGAGACCGAUAGCGAACAAGUACCGUGAGGGAAAGAUGAAAAGAACUUUGAAAAGAGAGUUAAACAGUACGUGAAAUUGUCAAAAGGGAAGCGUUUGACACCAGUGUUGUUUUCUCGAAAAUCAAUUAAAAAAGGCAGGAUUUUGUGUUGUAUUGACUUUAUCAGCUUUCUGCACUCUUUUCUUGUCUUUUUUAAUGCACUUUUCGUUUAACAAGUCAACAGUCAAUUUCUUUUGUUGUAAAAGAGUCAUUGGAAGGUGGCUUUCUUUUCGGAGAAAGUGUUUAUAGCCUUUGGCCUCUGCAAUCGGAGAGAUUGAGGUCUGCAGCGUAGAUCCUUCGGGGUUAGAUACAUUUGUGCUAAGUUAUAGCCUUUCAUAGACAACUUGUUGACUAUGAUCAGUCAUGUAGCUUACUCGCUUAUGCUAUUUUACCUACGCUUAGGAUGUUGACGAUCAGCUGAGCGCG